AUGUCUUCCUCUCUGACAAGCGGUUUCAACACGAUAUUUGUAUUUGAGGUCUGGUCCAACAGAAAUGGUCAUAUGGACACCGAAACCCAUUGUGUGGAGAAGGAAACCUUCCUAUCAAUACUCUUUUUAUAUCUCAACUCCUCAAAUUGCGCAGAGCAGACACUACUAAAACGGGAGUAUCAAUGAACAUUGAUUCUGCUGGAUGGCAGCUGACAGCAGCCUCUCUCUCUGGAGCAUGGUACUGAUGGAGCCUGUCACUUCCCUACCGUAUGAAUCCCUCCCAGAUGACUCCUGUUGGACAUGGACAUACCCCACUGCCGUUCCCAUGCUCUCCCUUCACCCGAGCAGACAGACAGAUGGACAGGCCGAACAUCCCAGUGACUCAUCAGACACUGUGGUCUGCAUUGGUUCAUUUGUCAUGUCACACCACCCACUCAUCUCAUUCUGAGCCCCUGCCUCUCUGUCUGCAGUUUGGGCCGAGGCUAUGGGCUGUGUUCUCUGGAUUGGACGCUCUGGGCUGGGUCCUCAAGCCUCCAGCUCGGCCCACUCUCUCUCCAGACAGAUGUUGACCCGGCUCACCCCUUCAGUCUGGCACAGCCUCACUCCAUAAUGGGAUUUUCUAAACAAGGAGCGAGCAAUAGGAAUACUGUGGGAUGGGAGGGAGCCAGCUACAACUACAUCUGCAGGGCCUGGCUGCUCAGCUCAGCUCAUACAAACUCCCCUUCCUUCUGAAACACCAAUUAGAAACACACAUUCUCAGGCCAAAUGAAAUGUGAUUUGAAAUAAACCACAUGCUGACGUUAUUCACCCCCACUUCUUUUUCAAAUAAAAUAUGUUUUUCCACACAUAGAAAAGAA